rnacentral:rRNA from 1 species
GAUAUGGGACAAGGGGGGCAACCCUGCUCCAGCCAGGCCGCGUGUGUGAAGAAGGACUUCGGUUUGUAAAUCACGUUAAGUUGGGAGGAAGGGCUUUAGGUUAAUACCCUGAAGUUUUGACGUUACCAACAGAAUAAGCACCGGCUAACUCUGUGCCAGCAGCCGCGGUAAUACAGAGGGUGCAAGCGUUAAUCGGAAUUACUGGGCGUAAAGCGCGCGUAGGUGGUUCAGUAAGAUGGGUGUGAAAUCCCCGGGCGUAACCUGGGAACUGCUUUCAUAACUGCUGAGCUAGAGUACGGUAGAGGGUAGUGGAAUUUCCUGUGUAGCGGUGAAAUGCGUAGAUAUAGGAAGGAACACCAGUGGCGAAGGCGACUACCUGGACUGAUACUGACACUGAGGUGCGAAAGCGUGGGGAGCAAAC